rnacentral:rRNA from 1 species
UUUUUAAUAGAUAUUUGGUCUUACAUGAGUCACAUUGCAUUUUUUUUCCUAUAGAUUCAGAGUAGUAUUUUCAUGAACCUAUCACUGAUACUUUGCCUUUCAUGUUCAUUCACAUAUGUCUGGUUUACCCACACAAGGGCACAAUGAUGAAUUUUACGGAGGAUGCUCCUGUAAAGAAAGGCUUUGUUCUCUUAACAAGGAUGGAAAGUAUAACGGCAUACAAAAACCAACGUGGACAACCCAAAUCUGCAACUCCAGAACAAUCUGACAUUCCAGUGUCUGCUAAUGACUUGUGUUCCCUUGCUGAAUGGCCAUCCCAUGCUCGCCGCAACCGUGCGCGACUACAGGAUGAAGCUGGUGGACAGAAGAAGAAAGGGCGAGGUGUUCUAAAAGGUUUUAAAGCAUCUAAGAAGCGUUUUGCCAAUGGAUCUGCAAAGCUAAAUAUUACAUUCUCUGAAAAAUUGGGUGGUACAGUAGGAAUGAACUAUCGUUCGUUCAAGGAUGACGUGGUAGUCAUAAUGAAAAGAAAGUUACCACUCAUUGGAGUGAGGACGUGGUCGGACAUUCACCCUACCAUUCAUCGACUCAUUGUUGCAGAUAUAAUAGACAGAUGGGACCUGGAAGAUACACCAGAAACAGAAGAAAAAGUUCUCAAAAUUGCGAAAGAGAGAUAUAGAGGCUGGCGAUCAACUCUAAGCUCCACUUACAAGGCAUACAAAACAGAUGCAGCUAGAUUGGCUAAUCUGCCUGAAGAUUUACAACCAGAAGAGUGGGAAUGGAUGAUUGAGUACUUUGGCACUGAUUCAAAAUUUCAGGAACGCAGCCAAAAGAACGCUGAUAACCGUAAGAAACAGAAGACAAAACAUAUAAUCGGAUCAAAAUCUUACUCGGAAGUUAGUUUUGAGAAGAGAAACUUAGAAACUGGAGAAGAGCCAGAUUGUAUUGCUCUAUGGUAACUCACCCACACAAACAAUGGAACAUGGUCUAACACAGAUUCCCAGAAAGUUUACGACCAAGCACUUGAAGAGGUUAAAAACAAAGAAGCUGAAAAUGAAGGUCCACUUUCAAGUGAGCAGAAAAACAAUGUUUUCCAGACCGCUUACAAAGACACUCUGGAAUGCAAGUCAUCGCAGCCUCGUGGGUACGGAUACAUGGCCAAAACUUCAACUGGUUCUGAAAAGUUCCGUAUCCAGAUUGAAGAGCAAGCUCGUGCUACAACAGCCACCCAGGAGCGAAACUCUCAGCUCAGCCAGCAGGUCAAUGACUUAGAAGAUCAACUACAAGCUGAACGUGCUAACACACAAGAGAGGAUUAACUUGGAGCGUGCUGAGAGAGAACAACUUGAGGAGAGGUUAAAAGAAGAGCGUGCUGAAAGGGAAAGAUUGUUGCAAGAGGAGUGA